rnacentral:rRNA from 1 species
AUGAUUCCCAAGGUGGCUUCACCAGAAAUACUCACUCAGUUCCGACCAAUUAGUCUAUGCAACGUCUUGUAUAAGAUUGCAUCAAAAACGUUGGCAAACAGACUCAAGGUGGUGCUACCGAUGUUGAUUGCGGAG